AACGAACGCUGGCGGCAUGCCUAACACAUGCAAGUCGAACGAGACCUUCGGGUCUAGUGGCGCACGGGUGCGUAACGCGUGGGAACCUGCCCUUAGGUUCGGAAUAACUCCCCGAAAGGGGUGCUAAUACCGGAUAAUGUCUUCGGACCAAAGAUUUAUCGCCUUUGGAUGGGCCCGCGUUGGAUUAGCUAGUUGGUAGGGUAAAAGCCUACCAAGGCGACGAUCCAUAGCUGGUCUGAGAGGAUGAUCAGCCACACUGGGACUGAGACACGGCCCAGACUCCGACGGGAGGGAGCAGUGGGGAAUAUUGGACAAGGGGCGAAAGCCUGAUCAAGCAAUGCCGCGGGAGUGAUGAAGGCCUUAGGGUUGUAAAGCUCUUUUACCCGGGAUGAUAAUGACGGUACCGGGAGAAUAAGCACCGGCUAACUCCGUG
rnacentral:rRNA from 1 species